UUAGGGAAUCAAUUGAAUGUAUUACACCGAAGCGCGGGGAUGAUCCGAUUAUUACGUAAACGUCGUUCUCCAGUCAGUUAAUGUGAUUGCAUUGAUGCAACAAUGUAAAAGACCUAUAAAUGAAAGUGCUUUCAGCAGAGCGGUUCAUAACCAAACUGAACAUUUGUCUGCUGCACCACCGACUUUAAGAUUGGGCCUGGUCUGGAAGGUGAACUGACAUACGAGUUUACCUUCCAGACCCUGGUAAGUAGAAGACCACCCUGAUUCUGUUUUUUUCAGCACAUAAUCUUAAAAAAAAUUGUCUGACAACCCAGUUUGCCUCCCUCAGGGCCAUCCAGCACUGGCUGGUAAAUGGACGUAUCAUCAGGGCCCCAAGAGUGCGUUGCUUCUGACCCCUGAAAUCUACAAUGCAACAUUUUACACUACCGACUUUAAGACUGGGUCUGGUCUGGAAGGUCAACUUGCGUACAAGUUGACCUUCCAGACCCUGGUAAGUAGAAUACCACCCUGAUCCUGGGUUUUCUUCAGCACACACUCUUAUAGCUAAAUUAGUUUUUUUCAGUUAAUUAAUGGGAAGGGAAAAUGUAUAACAUUCGCUGCAAAGACCCAAUUUUGUUCUCUGAGUAAUUUGGACCCAAACUAAAAUCGGUUUAGCUUCAGCAUAACAUUUGAAGUCCAUCCACCUCUAUAUCUCUUUCAGUAAUGUCUAAAAGUAAAAGGCUUCUUGCUGUUGGGUAUUAUACCAAAUCUUCAGAUGAAGAGUCCUGCUCAAGUGUCAUCCGUUCUGCUAACUCCUGCUAAUGUAUGUGUUCUCUGAGUGUUGUGUAGCUGCAGCAACAGGUGACCACCAUCCGUAACCAGCUUCAUCCUGCUCCCAGAGUAGUGAUACCCACACCUGAUACACAAAUACCAAUAAGCCAUGGAAAAACCAACAAAGGGCGUGCCUAAUGUCAGAGAUGAACGCUGCUCGGAACACUAAAUCAAAUGCUGACAACCUAGAGGACACACUGGAGACGUGCAUGUGAAAGCUGCCAGAUAGUGGUAGGGACAGAGGCAUCUUUUGGGGCUUUCAUGUGUCUGAAGAAACCUGUCUCUCUCUCUGCCUCGUCUUUCUCUCUCAGAAUCCCACUGCAGUGUAUUCCUAUGCUGAUCUCGGUGUCCUCGGCAAAAGGGGUCAUCUGUAUUACACCUGUGGAUGACACUUCCGGGUUCAUGGCAAGACUGCUUCCAAUGGGGUGUAUCAGCUAUCUGCCUCAAGUUGUGUGUGUGCGUGUCUGUGUGUGUGUAUAUGUAUACUUGUGAGCACCAUGACCAAUCAGCAAAAAUCAAGAAACUGGGACAUUUUGGUGGUCCUAUUCUGCAAUUUGGAAACAUCAAUGAUAAUGUGUGUUGACCAAAAUAUUGAACUUUUUUUUUAUGUAUUGUAGAUAUACACUCACCUAAAGGAUUAUUAGGAACACCAUACUAAUACUGUGUUUGACCCCCUUUCACCUUCAGAACUGCCUUAAUUAUACGUGGCAUUGAUUCAACAAGGUGCUGAAAGCAUUCUUUAGAAAUGUUGGCCCAUAUUGAUAGGAUAACAUCUUGCAGUUGAUGGAGAUUUGUGGGAUGCACAUCCAGCGCACGAAGCUCCCGUUCCACCACAUCCCAAAGAUGCUCUAUUGGGUUGAGAUCUGGUGACUGUGUUGGCCAUUUCAGUACAGUGAACUCAUUGUCAUGUUCAAGAAACCAAUUUGAAAUGAUUCAAGCUUUGUGACGUGCAUUAUCCUGCCGGAAGUAGCCAUCAGAAGAUGAGUACAUGGUGUUCAUAAAGGGAUGGACAUGGUCAGAAACAAUGCUCAGGUAGGCCGUGGCAUUUAAACGAUGUCCAAUUGGCAGUAAGGGGCCUAAAGUCUGCCAAGAAAAGCCCCACACCAUUACACCACCACCAGCACAGUGGUAACAAGGCAUGAUGGAUCCAUGUUCUCAUUCUGUUUACGCCAAAUUCUGACUCUACCAUCUGAAUGUCUCAACAGAAAUCGAGACUCAUCAGACCAGGCAACAUUCUUACAGUCUUCAACUGUCCAAUUUUGGUGAGCUUGUGCAAACUGUAGCCUCUUUUUCCUAUUUGUAGUGGAGAUGGUACCCGGUAGGGUCUUCUGCUGUUGUAGCCCAUCCGCCUCAAGGUUGUGCGUGUUGUGGCUUCACAAAUGCUUUGCUGCAUACCUCGGUUGUAACGAGUGGUUAUUUCAGUCAAAGUUGCUCUUCUAUCAGCUUGAAUCAGUCGGCCCAUUCUCCUCUGACUUCUAGCAUCAACAAGGCAUUUUCGCCCACAGGACUGCCGCAUACUGGAUGUUUUUCCCUUUUCACACCAUUCUUUGUAAACCCUAGAAAUGGUUGUGCGUGAAAAUCCCAGUAACUGAGCAGAUUGUGAAAUACUCAGACCAGCCCGUCUGGCACCAACAACCAUGCCACGCUCAAAACUGCUUAAAUCACCUUCCUUUCCCAUUCUGACAUUCAGUUUGGAGUUCAGGAGAUUGUCUUGACCAGGACCACACCCCUAAAUGCAUUGAAGCAACUGCCAUGUGAUUAGUUGAUUAGAUAAUUGCAUUAAUGAGAAAUUGAACAGGUGUUCCUAAUAAUCCUUUAGGUGAGUCUAUUUAUAUAUCUAAUGGCUUAAGAUUAUUCUUAAACUUUCUUAUCCGGUGCAGCCAGAAGAGGACUGGCCCCUCAGAGUCUGGUUCCUCUCUAGGUUUCUUCCAAGGUUUUUGACCCUACUUGGGAGUUUUUCCUAGCCACUGAGCACAAUGUAUUGUUAUUGCUUGCUCUUUGGGGUUUCUAUGCUGGGUAUCUGUGCAUUUUGUGAUAACAGACAAUAUAAAAAUGGCUUUAUAAAAUAAAGUUUGUUGCUUGUUUGCAUGCAAAGUUGUUUUUCCUUCAUUCAAAAU
ensembl:lncRNA